AGAGUUUGAUCCUGGCUCAGGACGAACGCUGGCGGCGUGCUUAACACAUGCAAGUCGAACGAUGAAGCCUAGCUUGCUAGGUGGAUUAGUGGCGAACGGGUGAGUAAUACGUGAGUAACCUACCUUUAACUCUGGGAUAAGCCUGGGAAACUGGGUCUAAUACCGGAUACGACCAAUCUCCGCAUGGGGUGUUGGUGGAAAGCGUUAUGUAGUGGUUAUAGAUGGGCUCACGGCCUAUCAGCUUGUUGGUGAGGUAACGGCUCACCAAGGCGACGACGGGUAGCCGGCCUGAGAGGGUGACCGGCCACACUGGGACUGAGACACGGCCCAGACUCCUACGGGAGGCAGCAGUGGGGAAUACUGCACAAUGGGCGCAAGCCUGAUGCAGCGACGCCGCGUGAGGGAUGACGGCCUUCGGGUUGUAAACCUCUGUUAGCAGGGAAGAAGAGAGAUUGACGGUACCUGCAGAGAAAGCGCCGGCUAACUACGUG
rnacentral:rRNA from 1 species